rnacentral:misc_RNA from 1 species
GAAAUGCGAUACGCAAUGCGAAUUGCAGAAUUCCGCGAGUCAUCAGAUCUUUGAACGCAAAUUGCGCCGCUAGGAUCUCCUCUUGGUGGCAUGUUUGUUUCAGUGUGUUUGUUUACCUCACAAAACUCAAUGCGAUUGAAGUUUAAUAUUUAUUUAUUUUAUUUCUCUCGUUAAAAAUGAGUGCACUUGUUUUGUCACCACAAAACAUCCAACGUAGCGGUCACUUCUCUAAGUGAUUGCGUUGGAAUUAUUUGAGUGAUAAACACUAUAUAAGUGCAUAAUAAUAUUUUGUCUACAAUCAGCACCUGAAAUCAAGCAAGAAAACCCGCUGAACUUAA